rnacentral:lncRNA from 1 species
CCUCUUCUUGUUAUUGUGUAAUGUACAUAGUCAAAACAUAUAAUAUCCUGGACACACCUGGCUAUACUAUUGUUGUUUUAAUUCCUUAAAACCAAAAAAAGUUUCCAUAAAACUGAUGGUUAAUUGGUUACAUUUCGCGUCUUGGGAGUCUUCUACAGGAGCAGAAUUGGAAUAUAAGAAAUCAUGAAAAUGCUUGAUUAAAUAGUUACACUCGAGAAAUUGAAAGGAAUACACAUUGUAUCAUAACGCGUAGAGUUUAAUUAUUACUGAAUGAUUACCAUUUCACCGGGAUGAAAUUUGUAGGCCUUCGAAUAAUUUUG